rnacentral:sRNA from 1 species
UGGGGAAACGUUAGACACUGGUAGCACGAUCUAUGGAGAUGGAGAUAGAUAGUAUGUACUGUACAUAUUCGGGUCUUGUUCGAGGCUCUAAUUUUAUCUUGAUCAAAUUGUUCUGCCACACUUAGGUGUUUGGGAGAUGCUGCUGCUCAUUCUCUAAUUAUUCAGGGCCCAGACAGCCCAUGUGCUCAAUAUAUGUGCUGUUUGUUUCAACAGAGCACAUCCUGGCCAUCGAAGGUAGACAUAACUCCUGUUGGAUGCUACAUACGAGCUGUGAACAAGAGAGGUUUGCCGUGCGUUUUCCGUGACUGCUGGGAUGUUCUAUGCAGUAGUCAGUUUAUAUAUAUGGUUUACAAAGUUUUAAG